CUGCAGCCCGAGUGGUGAUCGAUUUUAUUGAGCCUAAAGCGUCCGUAGCCGGACUAGUAAACCCUUGGGUAAAUUGGGCAGCUUAACUGUCCGAAUUCCGAGGGGACUGCUAGUCUUGGGACCGGGAGAGGUCAGAGGUACUCAAGGGGUAGGGGCUAAAUCCUGUAAUCCUUUGGGGACCACCAGUAGCGAAGGCGUCUGACUAGAACGGAUCCGACGGUAAGGGACGAAACCCUGGGGCGCGAACCGGAUUAGAUACCCGAGUAGUCC
rnacentral:rRNA from 1 species